UUCCUUUUUCUACUAAUAUUGUAAUUUUGUCUACUUCAUAAUGUAGAUUGAGGCAUGUGAUCCUGCAAGCGGUUCACUUUAUUACUAUAAUGAAAAGUCUGGGAUAAGUCAAUGGGAAAGACCUGUUGAUUCUUCUUUGAACUUGGAACCACCAGCUUCUUCGCCUGUUCCUGCCGAUUGGCAAGUGCUAUUUGAUGAAACAACUGAUGGAUAUAACUUGCUCUGACUUGGCACCGGAGAUCACCUGCCACCGAUUGCUCAACAUUAUAAAACACCCAAUACGGAAUUUUUACAUUCAACUAUGGAUGGAUAUGAUAUCUCCACACAAACGCAACAUUUGCGAAGACAUAUCUCAGCUUUAGCACGCCAAGAAAGGAUUCUUAAAAUGCAGAUUAAGAAGCAUCCAUCACGUGCCAAUCAUAACAAAACGCUCAUAGAGAAGAAGAUAUGCAAGCAUUCACGAUUUAGACGGAAAAUUUCACUCAUCCAGAAUAGAUUCAAAAAUAACCUGCAACAACGCAUCAGUUCCAUGGAUAUAAUUGUCAAAUACUACACACGUACAAUGAGGGCAAUGAUUCUUCAGACUCCUACUGAAUCAUUUGAAAGAAAUGAUGAUAUUAGUCAAAAGUCUACCCCAAUGGAAGUGAAUUCUAUACGGAUUGAAGCAAAUCCAUCCAGGACUGCAAAUAGAUUCAAUGAAAAUAUUGGACAAAAUUCUACCCAAAGGGAACUGGAGUCUACACUACCGAAAGCAAAUACAUCCAGGACUGCCCCUAGAUUCAAUG